AGAGAACAAGCGAUGCAUAACAAUCUAUAAGAUGUGGUCCUCAUCAUUAUGGUCUAAAAUGAACUCCAGGCAUCACAUCCAUCUGCCAAGUAGGAUGAUGGAGAAAAGGGAAGAAGAGACAAAGGACACAUUGAAG